UUAUAGCCCUGUUCGUGGGCACAGAGUUCUCUGCCAUGGCUGGGGACUAGGAAGUGGGAAAGAGCUCUAGGGGAACCUGAGGGCUUGGGUGGAAGACUGGAGAGCCAGGAGGAGCAAGGAGCAGGAAGCAAGGAAAGAAGCCGGCCCAAACCCAUCAAGACCAAGAUGAUGACAUGAGUGACCUCUGAUUGUCCUCACUGCUACACUCCCACCAGCCCCCUGACGGUUUACAGAUGCCAUGGCAACAUCAGGAAGUUACCCUCUAUGCUCU
rnacentral:lncRNA from 10 species